GCGUCAAUGCUGGAUGUAAUAGUAUUUAGUGGAGAACCUAUCACAGCCAGCUUUGAUGAGC
rnacentral:pre_miRNA from 1 species